GCCGUGGUGGCGCAAUUGGCUAGCGCGUACGGCUUUUAACCGUAAUGUUGCGGGUUCGAGUCCCGUCCAUGGCG